GUGAUGCCUCAGCCACGCUGACCCUUGCGAACAGGCCCGCUGCCUUCCUCAGAGCUUACUCAGCUCCCCAUUACCGUGAGAUGAGAGUGUAGGGCUGAGGUUUCCUGUCUGAGUCUAGGUAGGGCGUUUUUUCCAGGGGCACAUCGCUGGUUAACCACCAGGUCAGGGGAUAUUUUUACCAGAUCAUCAUCUUUCAAAUCAUAAUCCCCGAAUGAGAAACCCAGUUAAGAGUGGCUGCACCAUUUGGCCUUCCCACCAGCAGUGUGUGAGAGAUCCAGUUACUCCGUGUCCUCACCAACACUUGUGGGGAAGUGCGUGCCCAGUUUCCCCUGCAAGAAGGACUUGCUGCCCAGCUGCCAGCUCCUUCCAGAGUCUUCCUGUAAUGCUGAGUCACCUCACCUGAAGUCACACCCUUCCCAAGGCAGCCCACACCUGGUGACUGAGUGAGGGGGAGGAGCAUAAAGACCAGCCCUUUUGACCCACCACCGGACAGCUCUGACGGCCAUUGAUCAUUCCAG
rnacentral:lncRNA from 1 species